AUCGCGUCCGACCCAACCGAACUCUCGAGCUCGGUGUACGCUCCCCAGCGCAAAGGGAAAAGGGUUUCGAAUGGCGCUUGUAACCCCGUGCGGCGCUCACUCUCCGAGGCUCCAAUGGCGAUGCGGUGGCUGGCGAGGGCGGCGAUGCAGCGGCUGGCGCAUCAGCCGAUGGUCCGCUCAUUUUCCUCUAUGAUGCCCGCUGCACCGUCGGAGGCGUUGCCGGUUGCUGGGUUCGUGGUGCCGUGCGGUCGCGGCGACAAGAAGACGAAGCGAGGGAAGCGAUUCAAGGGCUCGUUCGGCAACUCGCGGGGGAAGCGGAAGAAGAUGAUCCAGCGGAUCAAGGACCGGGUCGAGGUCCCUAGGUCCACUCCCUGGCCCCUCCCUUUCAAGCUUAUCUGAGAUCCCAUCUCGCCUCUUUGUGUGAAAACUUUUUCCUCUGAGCUAAAGUAAUGUAGAUCCUUAAGAUUACAUGAAGCAUCUUCCUAGAUGUGUUUUUCCUCAUUGAAUUCUGCUAUGGGACUGAAAGGACUGAGGAGUGCAUUUCCUACAACCAGUUGAGUGGCCUUUAUUUUAUAUGAUCAAUAUCAUAGUCAGCUCUUAGCUAUUGUGCCAGGUCAGAAAGGUUUUCCAUCUCUUCAUUAAUUCUUUCUGAUUAAGGUUUCUCUAUCUUCCUAUAUCAUAGCCAUUAAUCCCAUUGAACAGGAUAGCCAUUCUAUUUAGUUGUGCAUGUUAUAAUGUAGAGAUCUUAACAUGUAACUUUUGGGUAUUAAUGCAACAUUUUGGAGUCUUUGCCAUCUGAAACUUUAAUUCCCCAAUUUCAAUGGUGUAUCCAAUUAUUUCUCACA